ensembl:lncRNA
UCCCUACACUUUGAGAAACUGCUCUGAGAACUGUAAUUCCUAAUGCCCUCAACUAAGCACACCUCUGCAGUGAUGGGAACAGCAGCAGGGAGGAUGGGUGGGCAGUGAAACUCCACUUUGUACCCCAGGAAAACUGUUGAGAGCAGAGGUAAAAGCUGCUACAGAGAGGCGUGCCCUGGAACAGGAAAAUCUGCAGGAAAGGCAGUGGAGGGAACAUUUGGCUCGGGUCCAUUGCAACAAUUAGUGAUAAAUCACUGCUGGGAGCUCGGGUCGCCCGCUGGAAGGCUCCCAGCAGCCAACCAGCAGCAGGGCGGGAGGACACGCCGCACCGUCACGCCUCGUGCUGUCCCCGUUUCCAGUGAUGGGGGAAGCAGGGCUCCGUGUUAGUUCUGCAUAUACGGUGUCGGGGUGAAACAACGUUCCCUUCUGGCAGCACAGAAUCAGCACGCAUCCCAAAUUUCCCUUCUUCCGCUGCACGUGCUGCCCCCAUGGAAAUCAGUGCAAGCCUCACGCAGGCAUACGAGGGCAGG